UUGGAUAUUGGCCUAGUUCUGUGUGGAAGACUAGUGAUUUUGUUGUUUUUAGAUAACUAAAUUGACAACAAAUCACAGUCUGCCAUAUGGCACAGGCCAUGCCUCUACAG
rnacentral:pre_miRNA from 1 species